rnacentral:rRNA from 1 species
UACGUAGGGGGGCAAGCGUUGUCCGGAUUUAUUGGGCGUAAAGAGCGUGUAGGCGGCUUGGUAGGUCUCGCGUCAAAACCUGAGGCUCAACCUCAGUUCGCGUGGGAAACCACCUAGCUAGAGUCCGGAAGAGGAGAACGGAAUUCCCAGUGUAGCGGUGAAAUGCGCAGAUAUUGGGAAGAACACCAGUGGCGAAGGCGGUUCUCUGGGACGGUACUGACGCUGAGACGCGAAAGCGUGGGGAGCGAACAGG